CUUCACCUCACCUCACUUGAACCCCAGGGCCCCAGCUAGGAGCAGCGGUUAAGACCGCCUCUCCCCAGGCUGAAAUCCCACCCCGCCGCGGCCAGCCCUCCUAUCCUCUCUCCGAGGCUCCUAGUUACGCAACUCCCGCCCCGCCUUCCGUCAUUUAUACUGAUGCACCAACAUGUCCGUCAGCCUUGGGAAGAAUACAUAACUCUGGACCUGUUUCAUCUGUUUCUCUCGCUCUCACUACAGUUAUUUUCAUAUUCCAAUUAAUAAGCCAUAUUAAAUGCCAGAGACUGCAAGUACUAUAUUACAAGCCCACACAGCAGAAUUGGCAGUGUUAAUCAUGCGCUAAGAGUGUUUAUUAAAUUUCCUGCAGUAUUACAGCAGGCACACGCUGCGUAAAUUGAGUCUUCCAUGCAAAUCAGGGACCUUUUUGCGAACCCGUCCACGGCAGGCGCAAUAAAAGUCACAUAAUCCCCCUGAAAUGUGGAAUGGAAGUUUUGAAAAUUCUCCACGGUUGAUGGAGCAGCAUGUUGCGGCCAGUUUAAUGGCCAUAAUCUGUGCUCUGCACCCUGCCCUGCUAUGUCAAUCCCAAACCGGCUACGGAACUUGGAGUCCGAGCUCCCCACAGUAGCUCCUCUUUAUACACAACUUAGUGUGUUCCGGAUUAUACAGAAGGCUUCGGGAAAGUGCCUGUCCAGUGCUCCUCUCACCCAGGACGGCUAAAGCAGCUACUCUCCUCCUCCUUUCUACUCUCCAGACAGAAGCUUCAUUAAAGGUCCACAAGACUGGGACUGUUUUUUUGGUUUGAACACAGUUGUGAUCCCACAAUGGUUAGGUUUAACCACGGAGAGUACAGAGUCUGCAUGUGUUUAUGAUUUGUUAGCAAGUAAAUAAACGGUAAGGACCACUG